GAUGAACGCUGACAGAAUGCUUAACACAUGCAAGUCUUUGGCGAAGCUGUGCUUGCUCAGCCUAGCCAAGGCGGACGGGUGAGUAACGCGUAAGGAACUUGCCCUGCAGUCAGGGAUAACAGACGGAAACGACUGAUAAGACCUGGUAAAGUCAGGCGGACUCAUGUCCAGCCUGAUGAAAAGAGAUGCUGCAGGAGAGCCUUGCGUCCUAUUAGCUUGUUGGUGGGGUAACGGCCCACCAAGGCGAUGAUAGGUAGCCGGCCUGAGAGGGUGGACGGCCACAAGGGGACUGAGAUACGGCCCUUACUCCUACGGGAGGCAGCAGUGGGGAAUAUUGGACAAUGGGGGCAACCCUGAUCCAGCAAUUCUGUGUGCACGAUGAAGGUUUUCGGAUUGUAAAGUGCUUUCAGCAGGGAAGAAAAAAAUGACGGUACCUGCAGAAGAAGCGACGGCUAAAUACGUG
rnacentral:rRNA from 1 species